ensembl:lncRNA
GGUCUUCUCUGGAGCCCUCUGAACUCUCUUGGGAAUUGUUAGACUACCUCAGCAGAGAGUAGUUAGAAGAAGGCUGAAAAUGAGAUAGAGCCAUGAAGCUGGUGAAAAUGGUACCUGUGGUUGUGCUGGAAGGAGAUGGAGCCUGGGGUGGAAGACUUGGACCCUACUCUGGGCUCUGUUGCCACUAACAUUCUGGUUGAUUCUAGUUUCCCCAACCUGACCAAGGAGUCUGGUUAACAGGCAUUUUGUCCAAUUGAUCAGUGGGGAUGAAAAUAGUCCAGCUAGUUGCUUAUGAGGCAAAGAACGGGAAUUUGGGGUGUUAGUGUCUAGCCUUGUCAUAGGAACACAGGCCUCAGGUAAAAUUCAACAUUGUCAAUGGUAAAACUUCAGGAUCCAAAGUCCUCCAGUUGGUGACAAGCUUACAAGAUUUGGCUAGGUGAGUCAGAAGAUCUUUCUAAUGCCCCUCAGUGCACACUGGGCUGAGCACCCACUGGUGGAAAUCCGGAGGGAGCUCUCCUGUGCUUGAUGGAUGAGGUCAGAGGCCUGGAAGGAGAAAGGCAAGGACCAUGAGAACGAAAUCGCCUGCAGCUGGCAUCUGCUGACAGCUUCCUCUCAUCAAGCUCUAGAUGACCGUACACUUUUUUAAAAUGCAAGUGGAAGAGGAGACUGGGAGGGUUGUUUUGGUUUUACAGGCUCGUCUCUCUUCUCACUGACAGGAGAACUGAGAGAAUCUGAUUAUCAGCCAACCAAACUCUUAGUUAUCUGAGCCUCCCUCCUAGAGAAGGAAGUGUGUGUGUGUGUGUGUGUGUGUUGUCCUGGGGGAAGGCCUGGGUCAGCCAUUGUGACAGGGGGGAUUCUGGGGGCUUAGGGUAGCAGCUCUAUGUUAUCGCAUUCAGUAGAAUUAUGUUUAUGUAUUUUCACAAUAGGUACAGGCAAGUGGACUAUGUCACUUAGGGUAGGUCCAGAACGUCUUACCUCCAUCCACGCCCACCUUUAUGUUAUUUGUAAUGAUGUCCAAGUCAGCUUUUCAGGAGAAUCAAGUGAAGACGUGAGAAUAGGAAAUGUCUGCCCAGGGAGCUCCCUUUCUUAAAAGUCCUUUGCCCAGAGAGAGGAUUUAUACCAGGGCUUACUUGUCCAUCAGGUGAGCAAGGGAAGAAUAAAAAAUGAUUAAAAACUUUUAAGGAAAUUACUAUAGUCAUGCAAACACAUGGGUAGGUGGACCCUGUUGUGUUCCUUUUGCCUGCCCUGAGAAGAUGGGUUCCUGAUGUUAGCAGACAGGAGAGGACACUGCCGAUGGUCCUUGCAGGGUGUGGGGAUCAUGGUGCCUAUUCCCUUAAAUGGCAGACAGUCCUCCAUGUAAUGUUAGCUCAGGGACUAGGAUUUCAGCUUCUGCUCACCUCACAGGAAACACUGCCAAGGACAGAGGAGUGUACUGGACCCACAGAUGUCCCAUCCCAGUUAAUUCUCUGACUUGUCUCUUCUCUAAAUACCAGUUGAGGAUUCUUAAACCCUCUUUUUCUCUUUUCCCUUCUUGGGGUUUGUUGAUCUAGAAGCUACCUCCAUAAUACUACUACUUGACACGUGCUUAUUUGUAUGCCAUUUUACAGAUGAUAGUGUCAAGAGUCAUAUUAUGCUGUCUAGAAAAAGUACUGGGCUCUGAAUGAGGACAAGGGGAGGUUGAAUCCCAGGCUAGCUCAGGAAUCCCUGAUAAAGUCUCUCUACCUUCAUACAUUCCAGCCUUAGAUAUGCUGUGUAUUGCACAGUUGUCUUGCUUCAUAAUUCAGUGUCUGAAAACAUUUGGAAUGGGGUGCAGUGUGGACAGGAGACUGGAUCUAGAAAGAGGAGACCCAGCCACAAGACCCAGCUCCACCACUAACCAGCUGGGUGACCUUGGGCAAGAACUAAAACUUCUCUGGGCAAUAGGAUUUUAGCUGGAACAUAAUCCCAAGCUACUCUUUUUGCUUCUGGCCCCACAUUAGGCGUCACCACCUUGCAGUCAGAGAAAGCAUGGGGCCAGUGGGGCACGUCUAUUAAUAGGGUCCCUGGCUGCUGUGGCUUCCCGACAGGGGAGCCCCCAGGGCCAGUUGGCGCCUGCCUCCCGCCUCCUGCUUUCCUUCAGAGAACUAGCUGAGCUGCCUUCCCUUGCCCCUCCACCGCUUUGCUCAACCCCUCACAGGAAGGGUGGGCAGUCUCGGUGCCCACCAGAAGGAGGUGCCCAGAGUAAGGGGCACAGGAGGAGGCAUGCUGAGGAGGGGAAUUGCCAAACCUUCCUCAGGGACAGCAGCGAGCAGGGCUUCUCAGGAAAGCACAGCAUAUUAGAGUAGUGAUAUUGGCUCUAAGAAGAGCAAUUGAGAAGAAAACAAAUCUAGGCUCCUCCUUCGUCCUCAAUAAACCCUCCAUCCUCCCCGGGGACAGAGGCAGCCCAGAUGUCUCUGGAGGAGCAGGAAGGACGUGCCAAGCCUUUGGCCCCAGGUGAACCAAGUGGAGAAAGUAGAUAAGAAAGUAUCCUUCACUUCAUGCCACGCUCCUUCCUCCCCACACCCCUCAGUAAAGUCUCCGGACAACCUCUGCACACCGUCUCUUCCAAGUGUCCCCGUCCACUCCAGACUGCCAGACAGGCGCGGACACCGCCGAGGUUGUCCCCUGUCCACCCAGGGUGGGCGCGGAGUCCUCCCUGAAGCCUCCGCCGCCUCCUCCUUCGCCAAGGAGGGGCUGUAACCCGCGGGGGCAGAGGCGGAGCAGAAGCCAGGGCGCUCCAGCGCGGAGAGGGACUAAGCAUUUGGCAGGCAAGGGGUACGAGUCCCACAGGGAACCGGGCCGCUCACCUGGGCCCAGCCCGGCCCGCUGAGAUGGGCUCCGUCUCCUCCGCGCUGGCGCGGUCCCGCAGCGCCGUGGUGCAGUCGGGCUCGUCGCCACCGCAGCCCGAGGCGCCACCGGCUGCUUCCGCUGCUCGCCGAGAUCUAUUUGCGCUCCCCAAGCCCCGGAGGCUCGGACCCGGGCGUGGAGAGCCGGCCGCCCCGCCCGCAGCCUGGGAGGCUCAGCCGGCAGCGCCGAGCCCGGAAGGGCGCGCGAAGUUGGCGAGUCCGGAGCUGUCCCCGGUGCUGAAGAGUGCGGAGAGUAGUAUGUCCCAGCUCUCCUUGCCCCGAAGCCACAGCGCCGGGGGUAAGUCUGCUAUCUCGCAGAGGGAUCGCGAGGACCAGCUGCUUGGAGACCUUUGGGGGGCUUCUUACCUUAAGGGAGAGAAGUGAAAGCUCUGUCUCCCAAUAGGAUUUCGCUUUUCUUGUCCUCUCGCCUAUAACUUCUUUUACAACUUGACUCAUUUGUGGUUCAAUAGGGGGUUAUUUCAGAAGGACCAUCUUUCACAGGGAUUUAAACAGGAGCUGGCAAGGUAGUUUACACCCUAAGGAUCCCUCUCCCCAGCUUUGUACUGGCGCCAGCAUCAUGGGGAGAAUGCUUCCUUGUUGUCUUGGAAAGACAAGGAUAAAGGAGGCGCUCCUUCCCGUCUCCUCCUAGGGAGAUUGGGAAAAGGGCAGGAGAGUCCUGCUUGUCCAAGAUUUAGUUCCAUCUGUGAAGAAGGAAACCAAUAUUUGAACCAGUCUCUUCUGAAGGGACUUGGGGUGUGUGGUGGAGGGAAGACGUUUUUAGGGUGGGUAGCAAGGAAGAAGUGAAAAGAGCACUCAACAUUUGGAGUCAGAGGUGGAUCUGAGUCUCCAUCUGCUGUUUUCAUUGUGAUCUUGGGCAACAUACUCUCCUUGUGCCUCAAUUUUAUCAUUUGUGAUACAAGAUGACAAUAUGUAUCUCACUAGGUAGCUGGAAAAUCUGACCUGACACGGUGCAUGUAGAAGUACUUUGCAAACUGUAAAGUGCUAUGCAAAUAUUCAGUAUUAUGCCUGAGCCAGAUCUCCAAACCUCUUCAGCUGAAACUGAAGGGAAUGGAGAAACUUUUCAAUUUUUAGUUUGAGAUGUGCAAAGGUUCCAUUUCAUCAUGGGAUGUUGUUUUUGGUAAGUGGGAGGAAAAGUUGGGACAUGUAAUUUAGAAAAAAUCUCUCACACUAGAAAAGUUACUAAUCCCAUCAGCUGGCCUUUUAGUCUCAUACAGAAAUCCCCACUUCAUAUCGGGCAAUGUUAUGAUGCUUACUGCUGUUGUCUGUUGACUUUUCAAGAAGGAUUCAGCAGAUUCAGUGGGCAAUGUUGGUUCCCCUAAAGAGAAAAAGAUGAGGUUAGUGCACAGGGGCAAUUGGCUUCGACUUUGACUCACUGAAAGCUGAGGAAACAGGCUCACGAAGAUCAUGUGACUUGCCCAAGAUCACAGAGCUAGUAGGUAGCAAGCCUGGGAUUCAAACUUGAAAUCGAGUUGGGGAGAUGAUAAAUCUAAGUUAAACAAAGGUGAGCAGUGUAAGAUGAACUCUAGUUAAUACAGCUGCACAGUAUGCACCACAGCGGUAUUUCUCAAAGUACACGUGGAAGCCACCCGCCUCAGAAUUCCUCUGAGUUUUUGUUAAAAUGCACUCUUCUGGGCCCCCUUUUAGGUGUAACUGAUUCAGAAUCUCUCACAGUGAGGCCCAGAAAUCUGCAUUUUUUGCAAAUAAGAUGAAUCUUAUUCACUCUAACUUUGAAAAUUGCCCCCCGCCCCCAUGUUGUUCACUAAACAUUCCGGAGGAUACUAGAAAGUUGUUAAUUUGAACAAUAUAUGAAGUAAAUUAGAAGUCCAAAUUCAGUAACAGGCACUUUCCUCCAAAAAAUUUGACCCCCCUCACUUUCUUCUCCCCAGUGUACAGAUUUCAGGAGGAUUCUAUCACGUUGCCAUUUUUCCUACCAGCACUACCAGAGGGCUGGGCCCCAUUACUGAUGUCAGAUCUUCCUAACAGCCCGCAUAAAAUUGAAGACAUAAUGGGA